CAAUUUCCCACAGUGGAGUCGAGUUUCAGAUGUAACUUUUAGUAAGAAUUUAAAGAUAGUUUGGAGAAUCACAGAGAACAAAACAGAAAAUAACUUAGAACUACCCAAUGUGGCCAUGCUCAGAGCUCAGUUUCAUUUACUUCAAAUAUUUACUGCACAUUGACUAUGCAUUAGGUGAGUGCAAAAGUAAUCGUGAUUGAGCAAUUGGACUUGGCAGCCUGUCUUGACACACCACUGUGCUGAGUGUUUGAGGAAGUGUUUCAACAGAUGGCUGGGGUUAGUGUGUGUCAUCAUAUUUGAGCGAGGAUUAAGAGAAGGCAGGCUGCCUUGCUGAAGCUAUGUGGUCUUCAAGGUGGCUGGCAAAAUGGCCAAAUAGUAACAGCUCCAGUCUGCAGCUCCCAGUAAGAUCUACACACAAGGCGGGUGAUUUCUGCAUUUCCAACUGAGGAUUCUUAGUCCCUGUACUUGUGCUAACUUCAAGUUCCUUCGGUGGAUUUUAGUUCAUCUCAGCUGUGCUGAAGGAGAAACAAGGCCACACAGUCUUGUCACCUCUGCUCUGGGUGUGAGGACAGCAUGGAGAUCAUCAGGUCAACGCAAGUAAGAUGAGGACUUGGGCCAGGAAGCAGAGAGAAUGCUGGGCCGCUGUCCUUUUCUUCAUGGGAUGGUGUUUAGACAACAUUCUCUGGUGACAAGGACUCUCUUCUUGCCCAAACCCUAGUCAGGCUCCUCUGGGCUCCUUUUUCAGUGAGGCCCCAUUUUGGGGUGUGUCCCAAGACCCCAGUUUUAGCAAGAAUCCUGUUACCUCAAUUCAGCCAGAAUCCCCCACCCUUGAUGUCUAUCAAUCACCCUCAGCUUCAAUAUCUGGCCAGGUUCUUUGUCCCUCACCAUCCCCAAGGAAUUUGUGGCCACCCUGAGCUGCCUUCUACAGGAAUCCUGUUAGGUUGGUUGAGUCAGAAUGCCCCUUACCCUGGGCACUUUGUCCUAGUGAUCCUCCAUCUCCUGCCCCCACCCUGCUUCUUGGCUUUCCUUUAGUUGCACACUCCUGUUUUCAACAGUCAUGCCCAGAAUUUUAGCCAAGAAAAAUUAGAAUUCGGACCAAACUGUAGAAAAUAAUAAAAAUUUAAAAACAUUAAGCAAGACUAGAACCUAACAACAGGUGUACUAUAGUUUUUGAAACAUAAUUUUUUCUCUCUCCAAUUUCCCAUUUUUACUAAAGACAAAUCAUGGUAGGACUGAUUUGCUUUAUUAUACUUGGCCUGAUUAUUUGUAUACAGUACAGCAAGAAUAAUUAUUUUUUUACAUAGGCUUUUAAAUUGGCUUUGAUGGAACUUUGUUCCACAGAAGGAAUCUCAGAUAAUAUUUUUUUGAAGUGAAACCCAGCCAUGGAUUUGUACCAUCAAACACCUAUGCGUGGGUGAAUUUCUCUCCUCUUGAGAUCCCAAGAUAAACUUGGGGCUCCUGGACCUGUCAGAAAGUUACAUUUUUUACUUACCACAGAUCAGGAACCCUGUACAGGCACUGCGUAGACAAAGUAUGAGGCCAGUUUUCCCAAGGGGCUUUUAUUGUCUCCAUAAGUCAAGUUUGAUUCCUGAAAGAAAGCACAGCGUGCCAGUCAAAGCCUUGGUAAAAUAACCAGUUUCUCCAAUUGUGUCCUGUUUCAAAUAAAAACAUAUUCUUAUUGCACUUAUGCAAAUAACUGUAUUGCCAUAAGUUAAGAAUACUAAUAAAUAGUUUCCAAAUUCUGGAGAAAUCAGGUAGAGAGAAAGAAAUAAGCUCCAAAUUUUGUUCACGGGAGUAUACUAAAUUGUUAAAAGCUGCCAAUAGCUCAAAAGAAAAGCUUCCUUGACUCUGAAAAAUACAGAACAAAGGAUCAGCAAUGUUUUAAGCAAAAAGUCAAAAAGAUUACUUCAGUCUUCUAUUAGUUCAGUUCAUGCAGCUAAUUCCUGCUCUGCUUGAUAUUCAUGAACAUUUCAGCUCUCCAUGAGUUUUCAAAGUUUUUCCUCUAUUCUGAUGUCACAGUCUUCAAAGUUAUCAGAAACCUGCAUUCAAGAGCACCUGUUAGAGUAUUAUAGUUCUAUAAACCACCUUCUAAAGAGGAGCAAAACAAGAAACAAUUGUCUGUGGAUGACAAAAAGUUUUAGAGCAGCCAUAGUCAAAAACACAAUUGACAGGGAAAUUUGUUACCUCUGUGGCACACCAUAAUUUAACAUGACAAUGAUUAUUACUGAUAAUGUAUACUAAGUUAUAUCAGAGUUAUAUGAGUUUCCCAUAAU
rnacentral:lncRNA from 10 species